rnacentral:rRNA from 1 species
CCUACGGGAGGCAGCAGUGAGGAAUAUUGGUCAAUGGACGAGAGUCUGAACCAGCCACGUAGCGUGAAGGAUGACUGCCCUAUGGGUUGUAAACUUCUUUUAUAAAGGAAUAAAACGAGGCACGUGUGCCUGUUUGCAUGUACGUUAUGAAUAAGCAUCGGCUAACUCCGUGCCAGCAGCCGCGGUAAUACGGAGGAUCCGAGCGUUAUCCGGAUUUAUUGGGUUUAAAGGGAGCGUAGAUGGGUUGUUAAGUCAGUUGUGAAAGGUUGCGGCUCAACCGUAGAAUUGCAAUUGAUACUGGCAGUCUUGAGUACAGUUGAGGUAGGUGGAAUUCGUGGUGUAGCGGUGAAAUGCUUAGAUAUCACGAAGAACCCCGAUUGCGAAGGCAGAUUACUAAACUGUGACUGACAUUGAUGCUCGAAAGUGUGGGUAUCAAACAGGAUUAGAUACCCCUGUAGUC